rnacentral:lncRNA from 1 species
CUCCCGGGUUCUCGCCAUUCUCCUGCCUCAGCCUUCCGAGUAGCUGGGACUAUAGGUGCCCGCCACCACGCCAGGCUAAUUUUUUGUAUUUUUAGUAGAGAUGGGGUUUCACCGUGUUAGCCAGGAUGGUCUCGAUCUUCUGACCUCGUGAUCCGCCCGCCUCGGCCUCCCAAAGUGCUAGGAUUACAGGCGUGAGCCACCGCGCCCGGCAGCAAAUUUUAAUACUACUUCUCCUUCCUGAUGCCACGUGAAGAAGGACAUGUUUGGUUACCCUUCUGCCAUGAUUCUGAGUUCCCUGAGGCCUCCUCAGCCCUGCAGAACUGCUUUGGUAUCAGGAUGCUGCUGGCCUCAUCAAAUGAGUUAGGGAGGAUUCCCUCUUUUUCUAUUGAUUGGAAUAGUUUCAGAAGGAAUGGUACCUGCUCCUCUUUAUACCUCUGGUAGAAUUCGGCUGUGAAUCCGUCUGGUCCUGGACUUUUUUUGGACAGCAGUUGGUUGACAUUUAAAGGGCUACUGUCCCAGAAGGCUGCUUGCCUGGGCCCAUGGCACUGCCAGAAAUCACAAGACUAAGCUGAAAAAGCACAAAGAAGUUUCCUUUCAUUCCAGGAACCUCUUGGCUUGAAUAUGAAAUAGCCUCUUAGUGACACUACACUGCAAUUUCAAAUAAUAGGUUUUUUAUCACCUCUUUGAGAAAUAUCACCUUGGGUUCAUCCCAGAAAAAUAAUACAAAGUAGAAUUUUUUCAAACGUAAUCCCCUUGGGUUCCUCUCAGAAAAAAAUAGAAAGUAGAAUUCUUUCAAACUUAAUCCCCUCUUUGUAUUUGUCUCCUCUGCAUCUCUCCAAAGUAGAUGGGUAGGAGAGGGAAACAGUGCUGUAGAAAAUGGGACAAGAACACACCCUAAUAAAACAAGAAAACAUGGUUUGCCAGAGGUCUCCUUUCCCAGGCUCAAGCCUCAAGUUUCUAAUUGUCCCUACAUUACUCCCACAAAUGCCUUUCUGGGAGAGUCUUGUAUGCUAGACCUCUGCCAUCUUCCCAUCCUUUCUCCCUUCCUCCUAACCUUCACUCUUGAGAAAGACUCAUCCUGGCUUCUGUGUCCAUAGAACCUUGAAGCAGCUUUCUGGUGAGGAGGUGAGCUACUUCCUGCAAAACUACUAGUAGCUGCUAUUGAUUAAUGUAUUCUUCCAACCAGGUAAUGUAUUCCUGUUCCAACAGAAGUCUUCUUGAGACAUAUCUGAAAGUGACAUAGUAACCAGAAGGAAGAUUUUUGGAGGGUUCUUGAACUAGCUCUACAUAGGAAACUGCCAACAAUAACUUCCUGUGGCAUUUGUUAAGUUGUGAUUCUGCCCCUCACUGCUUGACUUAGUCCUCUUGACAAGGGCCAGGAGGAGAAAACAGGUCUCAAAGAACAGUGUACAUCAAAGCCUGGCUUUCCAGCAAUGCCUGACCCUGCCAAAGAAGGCAGGGAAGCCCCCACAGAGCCUCUUAGAAACCUCAACUCCCUCAGCCUCUUGUCCCAGAGCAUCACUGGCAGGUAUAGACCAAGCAUAUCCACAUCCACACGUACGUCUUUUUUGCUUUUAUUCAUUUUAGUUUAUAACAACUAUUUAUUUAGGACGUGGUUCUGUGAGCUGUUAAAUUGUUCUAUUGUCAGAUCAUAGCUGUAUACAUUUGUGGGGUGUCAAAACGAUGUUUUAACAUAUACAUACAAUCAGUGUGAUUAAAUCAAGCUAAUUAACACAUCCAUCACCUUGCUUACCUAUCUUUUUUAUGGUGAGACAUUUGAAAUUUACUCUCUUAGUUGUUUUGAAAUAUACAAUGCAGUAUUAUUGACUAUAGUCACCCUGGUAUACAAUAUAUCUCAAAAUCUAUCCCUACUGUCUCUCUGAAACUUUGUACCCUUUGAUUAACAACUCCCAUUCCCCUUUCAAUCUGAAACAUUGUACCCUUUCAUCAGCAACUCCUCAUUCCCUCCCUCCCAGCCCACUCUUAGCCUCUUUCUACUCUCUAUUUCUAUGAGUUCAACUUUGUUAGAUUUUUACAUGUAAGUGAGAUCAUGCAGCAUUUGUCUUUCUGUGCCUGGUUUAUUUUACUUAGCAUAAUGUCCUUCAGAUUCAUCCGUGUUGAUGCAAGUGACAGGAUUUCUCCCUUUUUAAGGCUGAAUAAUUUUCUAUUGUGUAUGUUUCACAUUUCCUUUAUACACUCAUCCAUUGAUGGAUACCUAAGUUGUUUCAUGUUUUAGCUAUUGUGAAUAAUGCUGCAAUAAACAUGCAGAGUACAGAUAUUCUGUUGACAUAUUGAUUUCAGUUUCUUUAUAUAUUCAGAAGUGCGAUUACUAGGUCAUACGGUAGUUCUAUUUUUAAUUUUUUGAGGAACCUCCAUGUUAGUUUCCAUAAUUGAUGUAUAAAUCACAUUCUCACCAACAGGGUAUGAGUUUUCUUUUUCUGCAUCCACUCCAAGAUUUGUUAUCUUUCUUCUUCUUGAUAAAAGCCACAUUAACAGAUGUGAGGUGAUAUCUCAUUGUGGUUUUAACUUGAAUUUCCCUAAUGAUUAGUGAUGCUGGGCAUUCUUUAAUGUACCUGUUGGCCAUUUGCGUGUCUUCCUUUGAGAAACGUCUGCUCAAGUCCUUUGCCCAUUAUGUUAGAUCAUUCUUUUGUUGUGAGAAAUUAAUAUCUGAGAUUGGGUAAGUUAUAAAGAAAAUAGGUUUAAUUGGCUCACAGUUUGAAGGCUAUACAGAAAGCAUAGCCCCGGCAUCUCCUCAGCUUCUGGAGUGGCCUCAGGGAGCUUUUACUCAUGGCAGAAGGCUACUUGGGAGCAGGCACAAAGCAUGGUGAAAGCAGGAGCAAGAGAGAGAGGGGAGGUGCCACACUUUACAUCAACCGGAUCUUGUGAGAACUCACGGUUGUGAUGACAGCACUAAGCACGAGUGAUUUGCCCCCAUGACCCAAACAUCUCCCACCAGGCCUCACAUCCACAAUUGGGGAUUAGAUUUCAACAUGAGAUUUGGGUGGGGACAAAUAUCCAAACUAUAACACCCAUUUUUAAAUCAGGUUUUUGUUUCUUUGCUAUUGAG